CCUACGGGAGGCAGCAGUGGGGAAUAUUGCGCAAUGGGCGAAAGCCUGACGCAGCGACGCCGCGUGAGGGAUGAAGGUCUUCGGAUCGUAAACCUCUGUCAGCAGGGAAGAACGGUCACUGUGCUAAUCAGCAGUGAAUUGACGGUACCUGCAAAGGAAGCACCGGCUAAAUCCGUGCCAGCAGCCGCGGUAAUACGGAGGGUGCGUGCGUGAAUCGGAAUUACUGGGCGUAAAGCGCUCGUAGGCGGUAUGUCAAGUCAAGGGUGGAAUCCCCGCGGUCAACGUGGGAACUGGCUUUGAAAAUGGGAAGCUUGGGUGUGAGAAGGGGUGGGGGAAAUUCGGGGGUAGGAGUGAAAUCGGU
rnacentral:rRNA from 1 species